AGUGUUAGCGGCAGACAUGAGCAAAAACGUGAUAAAUUAUGGACAUCAAGUGGAUAAAUCGUGGAUGUAACAGUUUGGAUUUAAUGCUCAACAAUCCU